CUGGAUGGUGUGAAACCUAUCAAUGCAAGCUGGUCAGAGGAGGAGAAUAAAAGAUUCAGUGAGCUUGUUUCAAGCAGACUUAAAAUCCAUUUUAUUGACAAUUUUAGAGGGAAACUUUAUAUGCGAAAUAGAAAUGGUGAAGAAACUUCAGUGGGUGAUGUGCUUAUCUCUGAAGGCCUUGCUAAG